rnacentral:rRNA from 1 species
GACGAACGCUGGCGGCGUGCUUAACACAUGCAAGUCGAACGAAAAUACCAAGCUUGCUUGGUUGAUUAGUGGCGAACGGGUGAGUAACACGUGAGUAACCUGCCCCUUACUUUCUGGAUAACUGCUCGAAAGGGUAGCUAAUACGGGAUAUUCUGACCGGCCUGCAUGGGUUGGUUUGGAAAGGUUUUUUCUGGUGAGGGAUGGGCUCGCGGCCUAUCAGCUUGUUGGUGGGGUGAUGGCCUACCAAGGCUUUGACGGGUAGCCGGCCUGAGAGGGUGGACGGUCACACUGGGACUGAGAUACGGCCCAGACUCCUACGGGAGGCAGCAGUGGGGAAUAUUGCACAAUGGGCGCAAGCCUGAUGCAGCGACGCCGCGUGAGGGAUGAAGGCCUUUGGGUUGUAAACCUCUUUCGUCAGGGAACAAGGCACUGUCUUUUGGUGGUGUUGAGGGUACCUGGAUAAGAAGCGCCGGCUAACUACGUGCCAGCAGCCGCGGUAAUACGUAGGGCGCAAGCGUUGUCCGGAAUUAUUGGGCGUAAAGAGCUCGUAGGCGGCUGGUCGCGUCUGUCGUGAAAACUUCCGGCUCAACCGGGGGCUUGCGGUGGGUACGGGCCGGCUAGAGUGCGGUAGGGGUAACUGGAACUCCUGGUGUAGCGGUGGAAUGCGCAGAUAUCAGGAAGAACACCGAUGGCGAAGGCUGGUUACUGGGCCGUUACUGACGCUGAGGAGCGAAAGCGUGGGGGAGCGAACAGG